rnacentral:misc_RNA from 1 species
UUCAUCGCCAACUCCUUCUGGAUUGGGAUCGUGAUUAAUCGCGCUUGAAUUUUGAGGAUUCUCAAAAAAUAGAUAUUUGUGAAAGUCUCGUGAAGCAAAAUUGUGAAAAGGCAGGUGUGGUGGUGGAGCUCCAAUGGCUGUGGUGGAGGGAAGCAUUGGUAGCAGUCAGGUGAGGCUACAAGAAAAUCUGAUCUUCUGGUGAAUUUACUCCUCACUGCCAUGUGACUAGUAAUAUUAUCAGUUGAUUUAGACAUCUAUGACUUGUGAGAAACAUUUAACAUUCUUUCCUAGUAUUGAAAUUGAUAGUUUUACAUAAAUCUAAUUACUUUCUUUUCUUGUCAUUCUGAUACAUUUUCAGCUUUCUUUAAUUUUUUUAAACAAUUACAUGAAUACACUUUUUCUUGUUUUCCGGUAUUCAAUAUUGUAACCAAAUGAAGUUAUUCUUAUUCUAUUUGUCCAUAAAAAAUUUCAUUUGUGACUAUUUUACAAAUGUUGCAAAAAAAUAUACCUAGUUGGUUCAUGCCAACAACAAAUAGGUAUAAUUGCAACCAAAUUUUCAGUCUAGCUCUGCUGGCUUCAAUGAGUAAUAAUACCAUGAAGCUAUUUGACCCAUUUUAACUGAGCACUGCUCAAUUAGUGGGCAAUGUUUCUGAGAAGUCAUAGAUGUUAAAGAGGUUAUGUGUCAUGCUGGUCUUGCUUCAGUCUUCCCUCCUCCACUUGCUCUAUUACCUGGUACUUGGCUGCUGAGCUGCCUUCAACAGUGGUCAUCCACUCUUUGUUGCUCCACUGCCUCGCUAUCUUGGCAGUGCAGAAACAGUGUCUUCACCAUACAAGCUCUGCACGGUUUUGUUCCAGAGGCCCCACUCCGAAGCUGUUCAUGUCUUGCAUCUUGUUAGUAUUGUAAACGCUCUCUAGUUUAAGUAAAUAUUAAUAUCACGGACCUAAUUUUAAGAUUUUGUAAACUUUUUUUUUUUUCUUGUCUUUUAAGAUUUUUGAAAAGCACCACUGGCUAGCUCCAAUAGGUAGGAUGUACCCUGUAGGUCACAAGUUUUGACGCUUACUGGGUUCAUUACUCCAUACAAACAUUUUUAUCGAUUUGUGAAUUAGAAAGAAUUUCAUGUUGAUUACGCAUAAGGCAUUAUUUGAUUGUAUAUAAAUUUUCUUAUUUCGGGUGAUCGAACCAUCUUUCAGUUUUUCAGCUGAUAUUUUAUCGAAGGCUAUUGCUUGUAAUCAUUGUAUAUAAUAUAAAAAGCGUUCUUUAGUUGAUAAAUAUAUCCUUGUCGCAUUUUUCAUUUCA